GUUUCUCAUUGUUUCUCAAUUAAGAGAGAUUUUAUUAAGACAGAUUAGAAAAAAUAUGGUAUUUCAUCUAGGCUGGCGAGCCGCGAUCAGAUCACCCUAAUAGAGUUCUCAGCCACCAGAGCCUCUCCUAGCAGAGGUAGAAGGCAGAAGACUCUUACGGCCCGCAAGAGUCAGCUUCCUCAAUGAUGGAACAAAUCACGACCGCCAAUAGACAUUUCAAUGGUUCACAAGGGUGUUAAUUGAUCCCGCGCCAUGUCCUUGCUUGGCGAACCAGACAAAUUCACGACGCGGUCCCAAAAAAUUGUUAAUGAUCCAACCGCAGGUUCACCUACGGUUA
rnacentral:misc_RNA from 1 species